rnacentral:rRNA from 1 species
AUCGAACGCUGGCGGCAGGCCUAACACAUGCAAGUCGAGCGGAGCGGCGGACGGGUGAGUACUGCCUAGGAAGCUGCAUGGUAGUGGGGGAUAACGUCCGGAAACGGGCGCUAAUACCGCAUACUAUCAGGUGAGUCUCGGUCGGAUUAGCUAGUUGGUGGGGUAAAGGCCUACCAAGGCGACGAUCAGUAACUGGUCUGAGAGGAUGAUCAGUCACACGGGAACUGAGACACGGCCCAGACUCCUACGGGAGGCAGCAGUGGGGAAUAUUGGGCAAUGGGCGAAAGUCUGAUCCAGCAAUGCCGCGUGUGUGAAGAAGGUCUUCGGAUUGUAAAGCUCUUUAGGUUGAGAGGCGUUACCAACAGAAAAAGCCCCGGCUAACUUCGUGCCAGCAGCCGCGGUAAUAC